AAAGCACUUUCAGUCGUGAGGAAGGUAGUGUAGUUAAUAGCUGCAUUAUUUGACGUUAGCGACAGAAGAAGCACCGGCUAACUCCGUGCCAGCAGCCGCGGUAAUACGGAGGGUGCGAGCGUUAAUCGGAAUUACUGGGCGUAAAGCGCAUGCAGGUGGUUUGUUAAGUCAGAUGUGAAAGACCCGGGGCGUCAACCUCGGAAUAGCAUUUGAAACUAGGCAGACUAGAGUACUGUAGAGGGGGGUAGGAAUUUCAGGUGUAGCGGUGAAAUAGCGUAGAGAUCUGAAGGAAUACCGGUGGCGAAGGCGGCCCCCUCGGACAGAUACUGACACUCAGAUGCGAAAGCGUGGGGAGCAAACAGGAUUAGAUACCCUGGUAG
rnacentral:rRNA from 1 species